rnacentral:rRNA from 1 species
AUUGAACGCUGGCGGCAGGCCUAACACAUGCAAGUCGAACGAGUGGCGGACGGGUGAGUAAUGUCUGGGAAACUGACCGAUGGAGGGGGAUAACUACUGGAAACGGUAGCUAAUACCGCAUACCAUCGGAUGUGCCCAGAUGGGAUUAGCUAGUAGGUGGGGUAACGGCUAACCUAGGCGACGAUCCCGAGCUGGUCUGAGAGGAUGACCAGCCACACUGGAACGUAUACACGGCCCAGACUCCUACGGGAGGCAGCAGUGGGGAAUAUUGCAUAAUGGGCGCAAGCCUGAUGCAGCCAUGCCGCGUGUGUGAAGAAGGCCUUCGGGUUGUAAAGCACUUUCAGCGAGGAGGCGUUACUCGCAGAAGAAGCACCGGCUAACUCCGUGCCAGCAGCCGCGGUAAUAC